rnacentral:lncRNA from 1 species
AUGGGGAUGUGGUGACUUUAAGACAUAGGAUACCGUUUACUCCCCAAGAAAUAAAUGAAUUUACACGAAAUAUCCCCACAUAUGAACAAGAUCCUUUUCUAGUAGCAAAAAAGAUGGGAGACAUAUUUUUUCAGUAUAAUCCGUCUUACAAGGACGUUGAGAACUUACUACAGGCUUUUUUAACUGAACGUGAAAGAAAUAAAAUAAUUGCUCAUGUCAUCAAAACCCGGGGGCAUAAUGCAGCACAUUGGCCAUUUCAGGAUCCUGAAUGGGACUAUAACAAUCCUGAGGAUUAUCUACAACUAUACCGUUGUAGAGAGGCCAUCCUCACAGCAAUGAAGGAAUGUGCAGACAGUACAGAUAAGCAGAUGGAACUUGAAAAAAUUAAGCAAAAGGAAGAAGAAACAUCCUCCAGAUUUAUGGAUAGAAUAAUCGAGUUUGGGGACAGAUACUUAGAUUGGGACCUAACUAAAGAGAGUAGCUUAAGACAAGUUAGAAGGAUCUUUGUAAAUAACUCUUGCAAAGCAAUUAAGAAUUAUUUUAGAACACAAUGCCCAAGAUGGUCAGAUAUGGACCUUGAAGAAUUGCGAAAAACAGCUAUAUAUGUUUUAAAGGGAAACAAAGAAAAGGAGGAAGAAAAUAAUGAUGACAUGGAGGAAAUGAAGAAAAAAAUGAAAUAUUUGAUAGAUAGGAUAACUAAAUUAAAAAGUGGGCAUGAUAAUGAACCAACGACAAUUGCCCCUCUCCAGAAAUCCAAUUAUCAAUCCAUUACUUGCCACUUCUGUGAGAAGAAGGGCCACAAAAUGAUGGAAUGUAGAACCUUUCUUAAGAUGAUUGGAAGGAAUACACAGUUUAAUAAUAGCUUUAGAAAUAAUAACUAUAGAAAUGAUGAUAAUGGUUAUAGAAACCAGAAUUCUAAAAAUUAUAAUAAUGUAUAAUAAUGACUAUGGAAAUAACUAUAAUGAAUAUAGAAAUAAGAACUUUAGAAACCAGAAUUAGAAAUAGGAAUUGGGAAAAUAAUGACAAUGCUCCAAAUGAAGAAAAUUAUAAUGAUAAUGAACAACAACAAUAUAUGAGAAAUGGCGCUUGUCCAAAAAAUACUCGAGGUACUAAUGACCCUCAGAGAGGUGCCCUUCAGGGGGGUGCCCAAGGAAUAUCCCAAACACAAUGAUGGUGUCUGGGGGGGGGGCUGGGGCACAGGAAUCAGAG